rnacentral:rRNA from 1 species
UACGAAGGGGGCAAGCGUUGUUCGGAAUUACUGGGCGUAAAGGGCGCGUAGGCGGCUUAUCAAGUCAGGCGUGAAAUUCCCGGGCUCAACCUGGGGGCUGCGCUUGAUACUGAUGAGCUUGAAUGCGGGAGAGGAUAGUGGAAUUUCGAGUGUAGGGGUGAAAUCCGUAGAUAUUCGAAGGAACACCGGUGGCGAAGGCGGCUAUCUGGACCGAUACUGACGCUGAGACGCGAAAGCGUGGGGAGCAAACAGG